GACGAACGCUGGCGGCGUGCUUAACACAUGCAAGUCGAACGGAAAGGCCCUGCUUUUGUGGGGUGCUCGAGUGGCGAACGGGUGAGUAACACGUGAGUAACCUGCCCUUGACUUUGGGAUAACUUCAGGAAACUGGGGCUAAUACCGGAUAGGAGCUCCUGCUGCAUGGGGGGGGUUGGAAAGUUUCGGCGGUUGGGGAUGGACUCGCGGCUUAUCAGCUUGUUGGUGGGGUAGUGGCUUACCAAGGCUUUGACGGGUAGCCGGCCUGAGAGGGUGACCGGCCACAUUGGGACUGAGAUACGGCCCAGCCUCCUACGGGAGGCAGCAGUGGGGAAUAUUGCACAAUGGGCGGAAGCCUGAUGCAGCAACGCCGCGUGCGGGAUGACGGCCUUCGGGUUGUAAACCGCUUUCGCCUGUGACGAAGCGUGAGUGACGGUAAUGGGUAAAGAAGCACCGGCUAACUACGUG
rnacentral:rRNA from 1 species